ACGGAAGGCAGCAGUGGGGAAUAUUGCACAAUGGGGGAAACCUUGAUGCAGCGACGCCGCGUGAGUGAAGAAGUAUUUCGGUAUGUAAAGCUCUAUCAGCAGGGAAGAAAAUGACGGUACCUGACUAAGAAGCCCCGGCUAACUACGUGCCAGCAGCCGCGGUAAUACGUAGGGGGCAAGCGUUAUCCGGAUUUACUGGGUGUAAAGGGAGCGUAGACGGCAAUGCAAGUCUGAUGUGAAAGCCCGGGGCUCAACCCCGGUACUGCAUUGGAAACUGUAAUGCUAGAGUGCAGGAGAGGUAAGUGGAAUUCCUAGUGUAGCGGUGAAAUGCGUAGAUAUUAGGAGGAACACCAGUGGCGAAGGCGGCUUACUGGACUGUAACUGACGUUGAGGCUCGAAAGCGUGGGGAGCAAACAGGAUUAGAUACCCUGGUA
rnacentral:rRNA from 1 species